rnacentral:snRNA from 1 species
CCGGAUCCCAUCAGAACUCCGCA